GAUGAACGCUGGCGGCGUGCCUAAUACAUGCAAGUCGAGCGAAAAGACGAGGCGCUUGCUCCUCUGACGUUUGCGGCGGACGGGUGAGUCACACGUGGAUACCCCCCUUAUCUGACUGGGAUCAUUUCGGGAAACCGGCGCUAAUCCGGGAUAAUAUAUUGAAGCGUAUGGUUCAUUAGUGAAUGACGGUUUUGCUGUCACUUAUAGCUGGAUCCGGGCCGCAUUGGCUAGUUGGUAGGGUAAAGGCUUACCAAGGCAAGUAUGCGUGGACGACGUGAGUGGGUGGUAGCCCGCACUGGAACUUAGACGCGGACCAGGCGCCUACGGGAGGCAGCAGUCGGGAAUCUUCCGCAGUGGUGGGAAGCAUGGCGGAGCAGGGCCACGUGAGUUAUAAAGGUGUUCGGAGCGUAAAACUCUGUUAUGGGGUAAAAACAAAUGUGGAAGUAACUAUACACGGCGUGACGGUACCUGAUCAGAAAGCCACGGCUAACUACGUG
rnacentral:rRNA from 1 species